AGCAGCCGCGGUAAUUCCAGCUCCAAUAGCGUAUAUUAAAGUUGUUGCAGUUAAAAAGCUCGUAGUUGAAUUUCGGGGUUUAUCCGUUGGUCGGGCUUUUGGGUCUGUACUGGCGUGAUGGAUUCCUACCUUCUGAAUAACCAGCAUGUCAUUAAUUUGGUGCGUUGGGGAAGCAGGACUGUUACCUUGAAAAAAUUAGAGUGCUUAAAGCAGGCUAUUGCCUGAAUACAUUAGCAUGGAAUAAUGAAAUAGGACGCAUGGUUCUAUUUUGUUGGUUUCUAGGAUCACCGUAAUGAUUAAUAGGGAUAGUUGGGGGCAUUAGUAUUCAAUUGUCAGAGGUGAAAUUCUUGGAUUUAUUGAAGACUAACUUCUGCGAAAGCAUUUGCCAAGGAUGUUUUCAUUAAUCAAGAACGAAAGUUAGGGGAUCGAAGACGAUCAGAUACCGUCGUAGUCUUAACCAUAAACUAUGCCGACUAGGGAUCGGACGAUGUUAAUUUUUAAUGACUCGUUCGGCGUCCUU
rnacentral:rRNA from 1 species